UGGGGAAUAUUGCACAAUGGGGGAAACCCUGAUGCAGCGACGCCGCGUGAGGGAUGACGGCCUUCGGGUUGUAAACCUCUUUCAGUAGGGAAGAAGCGAAAGUGACGGUACCUGCAGAAGAAGCGCCGGCUAACUACGUGCCAGCAGCCGCGGUAAUACGUAGGGCGCAAGCGUUGUCCGGAAUUAUUGGGCGUAAAGAGCUCGUAGGUGGUUUGUCGCGUCUGGUGUGAAAUCUUACCGCUUAACGGUGAGCUUGCAUUGGGUACGGGCAGACUAGAGUGCGGUAGGGGAGACUGGAAUUCCUGGUGUAGCGGUGGAAUGCGCAGAUAUCAGGAAGAACACCGAUGGCGAAGGCAGGUCUCUGGGCCGCAACUGACGCUGAGGAGCGAAAGCAUGGGGAGCGAACAGGAUUAGAUAGCCCUGGUAGUCCAUGCCGUAAACGUUGGGCACUAGG
rnacentral:rRNA from 1 species